rnacentral:lncRNA from 1 species
UGGCGAUCACGUUCGUGGCGGAGGCGGCUGUCAUCGACUAGGAGACUGCGUCGUAGAUGCUGGUGUUCGUCUGCUCGUCGAGGAGCAUAUUACUGGAACUGAAGUUUCCGUGAAUUAUAUUAUCUCUUGUGUGGGUAUGGUACAAAGGAGAAAAUAGAAACUUUAAUUCAUAAUAAAAAAAAAGAAAGUAAAAGAAGCUAGCUUUCUCUUCUCCGGUAUUUUGUCUCUACUUCCUGCAACGUAUUUGAUAUUUCUUUUGACCAUCCUUUCUUUAUUGUUUGAUGUCAA